rnacentral:rRNA from 1 species
UGGGGAAUCUUGCGCAAUGGGCGAAAGCCUGACGCAGCGACGCCGCGUGGGUGAUGAAGGCCUUCGGGUUGUAAAGCCCUGUGGGGAGGAGCGAAUAAGUGCGGGUUAACAGCCCGUGUGAUGACGGUACCUCCUUAGCAAGCACCGGCUAACUCUGUGCCAGCAGCCGCGGUAAUACAGAGGGUGCAAACGUUGUUCGGAAUUACUGGGCGUAAAGCGCGUGUAGGCGGUCUUACAAGUCGGGUGUGAAACCCCUGGGCUCAACCCGGGAAGUGCAUUCGAUACUGUCGGACUGGAGUCCCGGAGAGGAUGGUGGAACUCUCGGUGUAGAGGUGAAAUUCGUAGAUAUCGGGAAGAACAUCGGUGGCGAAGGCGGCCAUCUGGACGGUGACUGACGCUGAGACGCGAAAGCGUGGGGAGCAAACAGG